AAAAAGACAAACUCUAGGUUUCCGUAUCCAACGUUUGACUAUCCGUCUUAUAUGAAAUUUUUUAUAAUUAGUAUUUUUAUUGUUGUUAGAUGAUAAACCAUGAUUAAUACUUUAUGCGUGACUUGUCUUUUUAAUUUUUUCAAAUAAGACGGACGGUCAAACGUUGGACACGGAAAGCCA
rnacentral:pre_miRNA from 1 species